CCUUUGUUGUCCGACUCUGUUGCCUCCGGGGCGACCCUGCCUUCGGGCGGGGGCUCCGGGUGGACACUUCAAACUCUUGCGUAACUUUGCAGUCUGAGUAAACUUAAUUAAUAAAUUAAAACUUUUAACAACGGAUCUCUUGGUUCUGGCAUCGAUGAAGAACGCAGCGAAAUGCGAUAAGUAAUGUGAAUUGCAGAAUUCAGUGAAUCAUCGAAUCUUUGAACGCACAUUGCGCCCCCUGGUAUUCCGGGGGGCAUGCCUGUUCGAGCGUCAUUUCACCACUCAAGCCUCGCUUGGUAUUGGGCAUCGCGGUCCGCCGCGUGCCUCAAAUCGACCGGCUGGGUCUUCUGUCCCCUAAGCGUUGUGGAAACUAUUCGCUAAAGGGUGUUCGGGAGGCUACGCCGUAAAACAACCCCAUUUCUAAGGUUGACCUCGGAUCAGGUAGGGAUACCCGCUGAACUUAAGCAUAU
rnacentral:rRNA from 1 species